UUGGCAGCCAGCUAUUGUGAGGUAAACCCUGUGGAUGAAGAGGUCCAGCUGCUGGCUGCGUCCGCUGUCUGAGUUCUGCAUGCACUGAAGGACCUAGAAGAGAUUCUUUCACAGGCAAAGGCAGUUUACAGAAAAUAAGAUUGGGAAAUGAGGUAGACCAGAUGUGGAGGCGAUGGGCGAUCCAUGAAAAGGGUAAGAGCCACAGAAAAAAGCUCACAGAAGAGAUUAGUUAAAAGAAAACUCUUCAAUUUAAAGAGGUAAAUAAGGAAUAUCAAGUGCUUUAAAAAGAUUUCUCACUCCAGAAAUUACCUCUGCAACCACAGAGUGUAUUUCGGCAGUACCUUCCUUAAGGAUUUCUCACCCCAGAAAUUACCUUUACAACCACAGAGUGUAUUUUGGCAAUACCUUCCUUUUUAUCUGAAAGUGGCAGGCACUGGCCUUUCUUCACGAGACCUCUGCUUAUCCAUAAGGCAGAAACUCUGAUGCCAUUUCCACAUUGUCUCUCUCCAAGAACACGCAAGCCUGGUGGCAGGUUUGAUUUUCAAGCAGCUUAUGUGUGUAAGACAGAUGCUUCUCCAUUCCUCGAAGGUCCUUCUAGUUCUCUUUAAAUUACUGUUUUCUCUGUCGCCGUGUCAUGUGGAGGAAGGAUGACAGAGGGCAAAAGGAUGCAUCCGAGUGAGAGCCAAGGGGCCAGGCAUGCGGGGCGCUUUUGGUACCAGCUCAGGAGAUUGACAGUUUGCUUCCACAGCUCCAGAUUCCUGGGUCUGGGUCUCUCUUAGCAACCACAGCUUCCAGGUGGACCAGCAGGAUGAAAAGGACUUUGAUCUUGCAAACUCAAGCUUAACUUCCCGCUGAAAGCAAUGGCAUGUGAAAACAGGCCAAAUGAUUCACGACUGUUUCUUGUUCCCAGAUUUCAUUCUAAGGGGAUGCUUCUGGGUGCUCUAGCUCAGCUCCUGGUUUUUCUUUUAGUAGUAAGAGCCUCAGACAAAAAGCUCACUGGCUAACUCUCUGCAGAAAGAUGAAUUUGCAUGGGAAGGUACAAGCAGAACAUGCACAGUGUCCUAGUCUAAGAGAACCACUGCCCUCAAAUGACCUCCUUAUAGUCAAUCAGUUAACAGUGUUUCAUGAACACCAGCAAGAUAGCGAAAGGUAAAUCCCAUUAAGUUUUCAAAACAAUGACCUAAGUAUUUUUGCAUAUUGAGGUAUCAUUUGCACACAGUACAAUGCACACUUUUCUAGUAUAUAAUUUGAUGAGUGUGGUGUGUACUCAUGUAACCAGGUUAGAAUAUUCCACCCUUUACAAAGUUUCCUCAGGCCCUUUGCAUUGGAUCAACAUCCUCCUGUUCCCAGCCCCUGACAAACACUGAUCUGAGUUCUGCCUCUGUGGUUUUGUCUUUUUCACAAGGGCAUGAAAAUGGAAUCAUGUAGCGUGUGUUCCUCUGUGUCUAGUGUCCUGGCACACUGCCGCUGAGAGCACCCGUGCUACUGUGUGCAAGAGUAGCUGCUCCUUUUUACUACAGAAUAGCACUCCACAGCAGAGAGACUGCAAUUUGUUUUUCCACUCCCAGUGGAUGGACAUUGGCAUUGUUUUCAGUUUUUGUUUUUAUUGUGAAUAAAUCUGCUUUUAGAUGUUCAUAUACAGGACUUGCAUGAACAUAUGUUUUCAUUCCUCCUGAGUAAAUGCCUAGAAUAGUAUGCUGUGUUCUAUGUAAAGAUGGCAUCUAACUGUCCAGGGCACUGCCCAGCUGUCUUCUAAAGUAGGUUUCCGACAGGCGGUGUAUGGGUGGGUCUCGUGUUUUUAAUCUGCUCUGAUGAUCUCUGCCUUUUCAUUGGAAUAUUCAGACCGCUUAUGUUUUGUGUGAUCAUUGUUGUGGCAGUGUCCUAUUUGUCCUUUGUUCUUUUUUUCUCUUUUUCUGCCUUCUUUUGGAUUCAUCGAGCAUAUUUUUAUAAUUCCGUUGUAUGUAACCUGUGAGCUCACCAGUCAUCCCUUCCAGAGCUUCUGCAUUGAUUGCUCAGAGGCAGAGGGUGGAUGCUUUCCCCUCACUAGGAUGCACAGGUCUCUGCUUGGGAUCUGGGGCUGAGGAGGGUUUCCUGCCCUCUCAGCAGUUUGCAGCUUCCAUUUUACGUUGGAGAAGGUGAAGGAGUUAGGCUGGGUCCUGCCGUGUCCUCCGGGGUCAUUCCUGGGUCUCCUGCUCUUUCCUUCCCCUCUAGUGAGAACAAGCAGUUGUUGCAGGCACGUGGAGAGAGCUGGAGAGUGAGACAGGCUCCCCUUGUGUCUGGGGUCUGCAGGGAGUCCAAGCCAGCACCCUAGCCUCUCUUCUGCCUUUAGGAACUCAUAAAACCUUUGGCUGCAUUCUUCUUAUCCACUUCUAGGGCCACAUUGCUUUCGUCUAGAAUCGUCUGAGACUCUGUGUUGCUUUGUUUUGUUUAAUGCAAGAAGCAAGGGGCAGAUGGUAUGAUGUUAACAGAUGGAGAAGAAGCUGGAAUGACUCAAUUUCUACUUUCUUUUCCAUCUCCUUUAUGUAAAUAUGGUCUUCAAACAGAAAGGGCAGAGCAAACUUGAGAGAACUGAAAUCUCAAAUAGAAAGUAAUAUGUGGCAUCUGCUGUCUAUAAGGAAGUUUAAGCUGUGAGACCCAGAAGAUCUAAAAGAUCUUAGAAAUGAGAUGGCCAAGCCCUUGGAGGUAAUCCCUGUGGAAUCUUGAGGAAUGAGAGAAGACAGCAGAACAAAAGAGAUGGACAGAUGGUGUGGCCUUCGAGAUGGGAAUAAGGUUGCAUGGAGACCACAGAUGAGUGAACGCUGUCUAUCUGUGGACAAUUUUAGUUUAGAUGUAAAAAGAUGUCUUGGAAAAUUCUAGAAACGAAAGCAACAAGCAUUGGCUCACUUAAACAGCCAUGCCAAGGUGACCUCAUUUCCUGUGCGAACAGGCUUGGGAGGUGUGGGAGCUUCACUGCCUCUUAACUCCAGCCAGGCUCUCAGUCUCCCUGAGGACAAGAUGGAGAAAUGUAGGUUAGAAAUAAUUCACACACCUGAAUAUUCACACACCUGAGUAACUGUUCAGAGCUGGCUGAACAGUUAUAUCUGAUAGGGGUAUGUCGACUCUGAAGAUUUCUGGCUUGUCCUGGGGCUUAAUCCUUGGACCUAUUUUAUUCAACAUUGAUUGUCAAUGCUCUGAAUCAUGAUGCCCAUCACUAUCCCCCUGAAGAACUCACCAGCUCUUUCCCCAGGUGUGUGGGGAUCCGAACUGAAGAGCGCUUUCCAGGAGACACACUUCGCUGUCCACACAGAGACCAGGACGCAUUCGUGGACUCACUUGCCCUAACUUCUGUCAUGCUGCUUGCAACGCACGGCCAAUCCCAGCAUGAAUGAAGCCAGCAAGACUUUUCUUGGUGUUUGUUGAGUGGGAUUCUGGUGCCUCCUGUGCAGAUCCACUUUUUACAAAAUUAUGUUGACAUCUUGCUUAUAGGCCUCAAAAAACUCUGAGUGAGAUGCGCUGGUUUGCCUUUGGAACAUAGGAUAGGCACUGUUAUCAGAAUCUGCUGCAAUCUCAUACCAAAUUGGAAUGUUUUCCCUUUAUAGCAUUUUUAAAACUUUUCCCACAAAAUAACAGCAUUGCACCGUGUCACGUUAUAUUUAAUUGCAUAAUGUCAGCCUCCCUUAAAAGAAAGUUGAAAAGAUUAUACUUUGAAAUAGUAAUCGUGGGGAAAUGCCUGACUUGAGGAGUUCAGCAGUUGUAAAUAUUCCUGCAACAUUAAUUGGUCAAUAAAUAUAUGCUGACUGGG